rnacentral:rRNA from 1 species
AACGAACGUUGGCGGUGUGGAUUAGGCAUGCAAGUCGUGCGCGAAAGCCUUCGGGCGAGUAAAGCGGCGAACGGGUGAGUAACACGUAAUCAACCUACCCUCGAGAUCGGAAUAACCACUGGAAACGGUGGGUAAUGCCGAAUGGUCCCACGGAGAGGCAUCUCUUUGUGGGUAAACGGUAGCUCUGCUACUGCUUGGGGAGGGGAUUGCGGCCUAUCAGCUUGUUGGUGGGGUAACGGCCUACCAAGGCAAUGACGGGUAGCUGGUCUGAGAGGACGACCAGUCACACUGGGACUGAGACACUGCCCAG